CGAGAUGCAAACAGGCCAGCAAAAAAGGCAUACAGGGCAGGACCCUGUGCCUGGCUGUCUCUUGGCUGGACAGCCACGCCGUUUUCACAAGGCAGCUGGAAGCACUCUUGGGCAAUCUCAUCUCCAAAACGACCGCAUUUCAUUAUCAUUUAAGUCUUUCUUGGGCUCCACCAAAGGCUACAAGUGUCUUGAAAAAGAGAAGCGUCUCUUUCCUCAGGUGAGGGGAGAGCAUGCCAGAGCUUUCUCUUCUAAUAUAAACUAGACAAGGAGAUGCAGCUGAACUUGGCAGAGCCUGCCGGAGAACACUAAUAGACUCGACGAGGAGAGAAUUAUAGGAGGAGACAGCUCCAGAGGGUGGUGAGGCAGGGAGAGGAAGCCGACCUGGGAGUGCCAGCCCCAGGUGGCCUCACAGGGAACCGGGUCAGUGUGGGCAGCCCAGAGAGCCCCAGGGCCUGGCCAGGCUCAGCUUUUCACCCAGAUAGAAGCUUCUCCCUCUCAGGAGCAGAGGUACAAACAGUGACCCCUGUUGGACUACGACGGUGUUGGCAGGAAGAGUCUUGGGGGCUGUCUUGGCCCCUUUGAGCUGCUUACAGAAUACCACAGACUGGGUGGCUGACAAAUAACAGAAGCUUGUUCCUGACAGUUUUGGAGGCUGGAGGUCCAAACUCAAGAUGCUAGCAGAUUUAGGGUCUGUGCUGCGGGAUCCCUGAGCUGCGCUCACCAUGUGCUUUGUGGCAGCCUCACCCAAACCUUCAGGAAUAACUACGUGAGUGUUCCCAUGCUCUCAGUGGGAAGGCUCAUACCCUUGAAACAGGAAGUAACCUGUCCAAGAAUGCUCAGUGGACAAAGGCCAGAGCUGGGAUCCCAAGACCGGUCUAUCUGACUCCAGCGGGUGCAUGGGUAACCACCGUGUUAUGCCCCAACACUAGGUCACCUGGGCAAGGUUCUACUUCCGCAUCGGAACAUGAAGACUGAAUAGGUAUAGCUCGUGGAACCAUGAGAAAGCUAAAAUAAGACCCUGUGUGGAGAGCUCCUGGCACAGCAGCUGGUAUACAGUAAGUGCUCAAGAAAUGAGCUGCAGAAAAGAGCACACUCGGCUCCGGGCUGCUCAGACCUCCCGUAUUAGAUGUGAACCCACUUGUAGCAGGUUGUAUGGUUUCGUUUUAUCUCAGACACCUGAUGUCUGGACCCUAGACUUCCGCACACUAGUGAAUGUAAAUGAGACGCAAAUCAAACUGGCCCCCAGAUAAACAGGGAACCAACCAGCUGGAGAUCAAGGGGAUGGGCUGCCUCUGAAGACGAGCCGAUGCUCACAUCCGUCGGAUUUACAGGUCAUCACCAGUCUUCCCAAACAGAUGAUGGCACCAAGCACUUAGUGAGGCAGAGCUGCCUUCACAGCCCGAUUCUGGGCAUCUCCCUUCUUCUCUGUGCCCUUGUAGGAGCCAGGUCCUCACAGGUCUCCAUCAAACCUGCUCAGAAGAUGUGGAGAGAUUUCCUCUUGCUCUGGACUUAGUGACUGAGAUUCAUUUGAAGUGGCAGCCCUACCAGAAGUGUCCACACCACAAGAGAAGUUAGGACAAUCACAGGGGUAGAUGGAGCUCUGCAUAGAAUGAUGUAAUGCAGAGAGGCAGUGUGCUAAUGACAUGCAAAUACCCAGAGGUAACGUGGGCAACGAAACCAGGUAGGUGGAAGGAAACCACCAGCGCAACCCAAGGACCCUAAUGUCUGGAAGCGGUAGGAUCUGGGGUAAGGUGAGCACCUUCCCUGAGCCCAGCUGGCCACCCCAACUAUGCAGAAGCUGCAGACCCAGACAGCCCGGUCUUUCCCAAGACAACUGCAAAUCUUUGAACAUGACAUUCUUGAUUUCUGGUUCAGUUUGCUCUAAAUACCAUUAAGCUUAACAAAAGUUUGAGGUUUUCUGGCUCACGGGCCUCCUGCUUAUAGAACUUCUUACAUGAGUGGUUCUCAACCUUCCCUGGGGUCAUGGGCCUUUUGAAAUUAAAUAAAGUCUAAAGAAAA